UUAACUCGGGUAAUCUCACACGUAUCACCGCCACAGGGUAGUCCUGGGGGGCAUGUCAGACUACUUUAAUGCCAUGUUUAACUCAGGUUUCCGCGAGAGUAAUGAGAAACGUGUGUGUCUGCAGGGUGUAGACAAGCAAACAUUUGAGAUGAUCCUGUCCUUUCUGUACACUGGGGAGGAUCAUAUCAACAAUGCUAAUGUCAGUCAACUCCUGAUGGCCUCUGUUAUGCUACAGGUAACCAGUCUACAGACUAUCUGUGAGAACUUCCUGCGUCAAAACCUUAACAUUGAUAAUUGUGUAGGGGUGUGGAGGAUGGCUACUGCCUAUGGCCUCCAGCAUCUCGUCAAGACAAGCUGGACCUUCAUCAUGAAGUACUUCCCCGAGAUCUGUGGAGAGGACGAAUUUGACAUUAUGACUGCCAAGGAGCUAAUUCUGAUCAUCAAUGACAAGGAACUGUACACCUCAUCUGAAGAACUGGUAUGUGAUGCUGCUAUUAAAUGGGUGAAGGUUGACAUAGCCUCAAGGUGCAGUGACCUGAAGGAAAUAUUUGUCCAUCUCAGGCUUAGUCUGAUGGAUAUUGACUAUCUGAAGAAACUUUUAGUCAUGGAUGUUAUUAAAGAGUGCGAUUGUGUGAAGAUGGUACAGGAAGUUUUAGAUAAGUCCAAUGAGGAAGACGACAAUAGACUUGCCAGUAACUACAGGGAGGAGGAAGUUAUAUGCAUGGUGGGCACCCGAAGUCGAAAUCCUGAUCCACAGAAAACAGAGAUCCAGUGCUACAGCUAUCGUCACCGUAAGACAUUCACUCUGAGGGACCUUCCUAAGGAGACAGGUCCCUGCUUUGCUGUAUGUACGGAUGGCAAGGAUAUAUUCAUAUCUGGUGGUUACGUGGAACGAAAAAUCAUUCUCCAUUUUGUAUCUAAGGAAAACAAAUGGGUGGAAAGCAGAAUGAAUGAUGGUCGUUGGAGUCACUCAAUGGUGGCUUCUGAAGAUUUCAUUUAUCUAAUCGGUGGGAUGUCACAGACAAAUGCAACCAUGUCUUGUAUUGAAAAAUUUGACAUCAAUAAAAACUCCUGUGAAAAGGUAGGGGAACUACAGGUGCCUGUCUCAUCCAUGACUCUAGCUGUGAUGGGGAAAAUGAUCUAUACGUUUGGUGGGAAACAUAGCAACCGUCAACCAGCCACUGUGAUCCAAUGUUACAACACUUGUACUGGUUUAUGUGCAGUUGUAGGGGACUUACCCAGCUCCUGUGCUGGGAGUGUUGGACGAGCUGUGAAUUUUGAGGACAGAGUCUUUCUCAUCCUAAGGGAGGGCCAGAUAGUGGAGUUUCAAAACAACUGUGCUACACUGGUGUGUAGUAGUACCAAGUUUGACCACUUUGGUGCAGUGGAGUUUGAAGGCCGUAUCCUGAUCGUUGGAAAUUUGAGCGGAAAGUUCACAAUGUAUCUGUUUGACCCUCACACUAGUGAAGUAGCAGAGUCACAUGCUCUUUUUAAAGCUGCAAUGUGUAACUUUCAUUGUCUUAAGAUGGUUCUCAGCAAGAAAUUUCUGAUGUAGUGACUACUACUCAUACUGGGAAAUGGUACUCUUAAACUGCUCACAUAUCGUGCUCCUUAAACGGUGAAUCAACCUCCUGAUUAGUAGCCAUCAAAUUGCUCACUAAUGACUUACAUUGUAGCAGUUGCAAUUUGUUUUCACUUUUUGUUGAUUUCUGCAUACAUUGAUUAUGACAUUAUCUUUCUGUAUAGGAUAUACUGUAUGUAUGCAGGAUAGUAUAAUGCAAUCAAAGACUGAUACAGUUUUAAUUUGCAUGGGAUACGGUAUUGCUAUCCAUUUUAGACCAGCACAUUUUCUUGUGUGGUGAUAUUUUGCAAUCCUAGACCAGAACAGUUACAAUUUGGUUGAUGCACAUAAUUAUAAUUCUAUCCAUUCCAGACAAGCACAUUCCUUGUGAUGAUAAUUAUAAAAUCUGUUACAGCCCGAGACUGAGAUAACUUGAUCUUGCUCAGUUACAGGUAAUUGAUUUUUUUCUCGCACCUUUAAUUAGAAAAGAACUAUUGAAUUUUGCUAAAAACUACAAGUAUCCCGCCUUUGGUCUCAAAUGAUAAUGACCUCUUCACUACUAAAGCUA